CCUCUCAUGGCGUAGUGGUUAACGCGCCCCAACUAGAGAUCUGGGAGUCGUGAGUUCGAUUCUCACUGAGAAGA
rnacentral:tRNA from 1 species